UAAUCCGACCUAGGCUCAUCCAUUAGCGCAAGGUCUUACGAUCCCCUGCUUUCCUCCGUAAAGCGUAUGCGGUAUUAGCCCGGCUUUCGCCGGGUUAUCCCCCACAAAUGGGCAGAUUCCUACGUAUUACUCACCCGUCCGCCACUCGUCGCCAGGGUUGCCCCCGCGUUACCGUUCGACUUGCAUGUGUUAGGCAUGCCGCCAGCGUUCAAUCUGAGCCAGGAUCAAACUCU
rnacentral:rRNA from 1 species